AUUUUCCUGGGAUAUACGUCAAAGUCUUCUUAAUUGAACCUACACUUUUUUAAAGGGAUCCCGAUGCGGAAGCGUUAUGUAAAGCCUCCAUGGGUGGACUACAGAGGCCAUGCUUAGGGAGUACCCACCUUAUCAGUUAACGAUAGGGCGUCAAUUAAAGGCUUAACGGUAUUCCGGGUCUUUU
rnacentral:other from 1 species